UCCCAGGUGGCUUAGUCCAUAAAGAAUCUGCCUGCAGUGCAGGAGACCCAGGUUCAAUCCCUGGAUCCGGAA
rnacentral:tRNA from 1 species